UGGAAGCCUCAGAGAGAUGAGAUCACAGGGAAUUGAGUUAUUCAUGAAGUUAGGGAGCAAGCCACAGGGGUGAGUUCUUUGCCGAAAGAACUCCUCAUCUCCCAAAGUGGGAAGAAGUGCAAUAGAGUGGGAGAGGCAAGAAGAGAUGAGUUCAGCAGGUCAAGCAAAGGCCAGUUUUGAGGGGCCUGGUGGGCCAUAGAGAGGAAGUUGGAUUUUACUCUGAGAAGCUAUUGCUUCUCGAGCGCCACCUCCUGGAGACCUGGCCCACAACCCAGCUCCACCAGAAGAGGCCCUCGUCUGCCUUGUUCCUCCACAUCCCUAGGGACCAGCACGGUUCCAAGCAUGGACGAGAGGCUCAGCAAAUGGUGGGUGCCUAAGGGACAAGGAGACCUGGAAAGACACGGUCAGGCAGCUUCUAUUGCCCUCUCUGCUUUGCUCUCGGGCCUCCUGGGUUUGCCUGUCUCCAGACCAACAUCAGCCACUCACGAGCUCCAGAAUUGACCAGCAAUUUACCACCAGAUGCUGAAGAAAACAAGAAGGAGAAGAAGGAACAAGAGCACAGGCUGCAGAGAGAAAGAGGGACGCAGACUUUCAUUCAUUCCUUCAAUAAAUGUCUGUUGAGCAACAUGUCGGGUGACUGUCGGUGCUGGGAAGGCGCAAAA